rnacentral:rRNA from 1 species
AGAUUGAACGCUGGCGGCAGGCCUAACACAUGCAAGUCGAGCGGCAGCACGGGUACUUGUACCUGGUGGCGAGCGGCGGACGGGUGAGUAAUGCCUAGGAAUCUGCCUGAUAGUGGGGGAUAACGCUCGGAAACGGACGCUAAUACCGCAUACGUCCUACGGGAGAAAGCAGGGGACCUUCGGGCCUUGCGCUAUCAGAUGAGCCUAGGUCGGAUUAGCUAGGUUGGUGGGUAAUGGCUCACCAAGGCGACGAUCCGUAACUGGUCUGAGAGGAUGAUCAGUCACACUGGAACUGAGACACGGUCCAGACCU